CCAGACUCCUACGGGAGGCAGCAGUGGGGGAUAUUGCACAAUGGGGGAAACCCUGAUGCAGCGACGCCGCGUGGGUGAAGAAGCGCCUCGGCGCGUAAAGCCCUGUCAGCAGGGAAGAAAAUGACGGUACCUGAAGAAGAAGCCCCGGCUAACUACGUGCCAGCAGCCGCGGUAAUACGUAGGGGGCAAGCGUUAUCCGGAUUUACUGGGUGUAAAGGGGGCGUAGGCGGUUUAGCGAGUCAGAAGUGAAAGCCCGGGGCUCAACUCCGGGACUGCUUUUGAAACUGUUGAACUAGAUUGCAGGAGAGGUAAGUGGAAUUCCUAGUGUAGCGGUGAAAUGCGUAGAUAUUAGGAGGAACACCAGUGACGAAGGCGGCUUACUGGACUGUAAAUGACGCUGAGGCUCGAAAGCGUGGGGAGCAAACAGGAUUAGAUACCCGAGUAAA
rnacentral:rRNA from 1 species